rnacentral:tRNA from 1 species
GAGAUAGCUCAGUCGGUAGAGCAAGUGACUGUUAAUCACUGGGUCGCAGGUUCGAGUCCUGUUCUC